GGGAACGUAGCUCAGUUGGUAGAGCAUCCGCCUUUUAAGCGGAUGGUCGUGGGUUCGAGUCCCACCGUUCCCA
rnacentral:tRNA from 1 species